rnacentral:rRNA from 1 species
UACGUAGGGCGCAAGCGUUGUCCGGAAUUAUUGGGCGUAAAGAGCUCGUAGGCGGCUUGUCACGUCGGGUGUGAAAGCCCGGGGCUUAACCCCGGGUCUGCAUUCGAUACGGGCAGGCUAGAGUGUGGUAGGGGAGAUCGGAAUUCCUGGUGUAGCGGUGAAAUGCGCAGAUAUCAGGAGGAACACCGGUGGCGAAGGCGGAUCUCUGGGCAGUAACUGACGCUGAGGAGCGAAAGCGUGGGGAGCGAACAGG